rnacentral:misc_RNA from 1 species
GAUGAAGAACGUAGCGAAAUGCGAUACGUAAUGUGAAUUGCAGAAUUCAGUGAAUCAUCGAAUCUUUGAACGCACAUUGCGCCUGCCAGCACUCUGGCAGGCAUGCCUGUUCGAGCGUCAUUUCAACCAUCAAGCCCUAGGCUUGCGUUGGAGCCCUGCGGCUGCCGCAGGCCCCUAAAAGCAGUGGCGGGCUCGCUAUCACACCGAGUGCAGUAGAUUACUCUUCGCUCAGGGCGUGUGGCGGGUUCCAGCCGUGACACCCCCUACUUCUCAAGGUUGACCUCGGAUCAGGUAGGAAUACCCGCUGAACUUAAGCAUAUCACUAAGCGGAGGA